CACCUGCACAUGAAGAUUCAAGAUGACAAGACCCUAUGAUGGACUGGCGACUUGCCCAGGUUGCAUCCCACCUCUAGCCUAAUGCCAGUUGGGACAGACUCCAGCCCCCUAUGACUUUAUAAACAGAUAAGCAGAGGGACUUCCAAAAUGGCGGGGCAAAGUAAGAGGACGAAGGACACCAAGUAUACCAAAGGAUGUUCCAGCACACUAAUGAGUAGUGGGAUCAUUGUAACCCUUUCAUGCAACGAAGAGAGUUUAGAGAUCAAGUGCAUGACUUCAGGAGAUUGUUCUAAUUGCAUAUAGUUAAUAUUUAAUGUGCUUUCCAGAUGUAUCACACACACAGUGUACAGAAUGCACAGAUUAAUUUCAAGUGUGCACUGCGUUUAAGAACAGCAGAAUUAGCCUGUAUCAUUCUAUGUAUUAUUAUAACAUACAUCUGCAAAAGGGACGUCAAUACUUGUGAGGAGUCAGACAAUCCUGUGUCUUCUGUGUACCGCUUUGCUCAUGUAACUGACUGCGUUAGAUUGUGCUGUGGCUCUAAGUCUUACUUCUCGACAGUUUGAGCGUUGCCAUGUGUCUUUCUAUAAGUAGAAUCAUUCUGUUGACAUUCUUCCAGUCUUUACACCGGCAAACUCAUUAAACAGUCGCAUAGUCUGUAUCUAUUCUGCUUACAUCUUGCAAUUAACGUUAUAUCAGCUACUGCAGAGUUCUAAAAAUGCACAUAAUUUUAUCUAUCGUCCUUAGCUGUGUUAAGCUUUGCAGAUACAUUUUAUUUCCAAUCUAGAACUGUAUUCUAUUCUAUAUUAUUAUAAUGUAUACUUUUAGAUAAACUCUUCUUUUUGAGACGA